rnacentral:tRNA from 1 species
GUCCAGAGAUGGGAAUCGAACCCACACUGUUCCGCUUACCGGGCAGAUGCCAUGUCCACUAGGCUACCCUGGA